rnacentral:rRNA from 1 species
UACGGGGGGGCAAGCGUUGUUCGGAUUCACUGGGCGUAAAGGGUGCGUAGGUGGUGAGGUAAGUCGGAUGUGAAAGCUCCGAGCUCAACUCGGAAAUGGCAUUGGAAACUACCUUGCUCGAGGGUUUGAGGGGGACUGGAAUACUUGGUGUAGCAGUGAAAUGCGUAGAUAUCAAGUAGAACACCAGUGGCGAAGGCGAGUCCCUGGAAAACUCCUGACACUGAGGCACGAAAGCUAGGGGAGCAAACAGG